rnacentral:rRNA from 1 species
UACGUAGGGUGCGAGCGUUGUCCGGAAUUAUUGGGCGUAAAGCGCGCGCAGGCGGUCUCUUAAGUCUGAUGUGAAAGCCCCCGGCUCAACCGGGGAGGGUCAUUGGAAACUGGGAGACUUGAGUGCAGAAGAGAAGAGUGGAAUUCCACGUGUAGCGGUGAAAUGCGUAGAGAUGUGGAGGAACACCAGUGGCGAAGGCGACUCUUUGGUCUGUAACUGACGCUGAGGCGCGAAAGCGUGGGGAGCAAACAGG